ACGAAGCGUCAACCCCGGCGAAGGCCGGGGCCUCCCGCCGAUAGAAUCCCCUCAUUUCAGGGAGACCCCAGCCUUCGCUGGGGUGACGUGCAGA
rnacentral:pre_miRNA from 1 species